UAUUCCUGGCCUUUUGGGGAAGGAGUUUUUGUCCCUCCGUGGAAUCGCGGCUUGGCUCGGCAAGGACCCAAAGACCCCAUUCCCACCUCCAUCCAGGGAUUUAAGCCCCAACUUCCCAAAUUCCACCCUAAUUCCAAAGGUUUGUGCACACAAGCACCGCGGGGAGGUCGCCGGGGCGGACCUGCAGAACCAGGAAACUGCGAGGCCAAAAUUUAACCCCAAAAACACCUGGGAAAGCCUCAUUCCCUGCCCUGCGAAAGAGAAUUCCCGAGGAAAUCCCUGGAAAAGUUUCGGGAGCGGCCAGGGCUCGAGUCCCGGGAGGUGUCACCUCCUGGCACCUCCCGAAUCCCGCGCAAAGGUCCCCGUUCCGCCCGUUUGUUUAAACAAACACAUUCCCGACGGGACAAAUCCCCGGGAAUACCCAGAGGGAGACGGAACCCGGGGCCGUUUGGCUCCGUGGAGGGCGAAAUUUGGGAUUUUCCUGGGAUUUCUGCUGGCGGGACACCCCGGCCGAGGUUCUGCGGGAGCUUUGGGAGCUCUCGGAGCUUUUCCAUGCUCCCGGAUAUUCCCGGAGAUGAAAUCCCGCCUGGAUCCGGCUGCGCUGGGACUGCCCGAGGUGUGUGACCCGUCCGGGACCGGGACAAGCUGACCGGGCUGGGAAUGUAAAAACAGGAAAAACGGCUGAGCUCAUCCCAGCUCAUCCCAGCUCAUCCCAGUCCUCUCCCUGUCCCCAGCGGGGUGAGUCUGGCCAGGGCAGGAUGUGCCAGCCUGGGAAUGGUGUCAGGAUUUGGGGGUUGUGAGACUGGGCUGGGGCACAGGGAUCAGGGGGAUCCACCAGGAGCAGCCCAGGAUCCACCGCACCAAGGCCAGGAGGGGAUCCCAGCAGGAGCAGCUGGCUCUGGGUGCUCAGGGGGUGUCAGUGGUUUGGGGAGGAUGUUUGGAUUUUGGGAGGGGGGGUCGGAAUUCCCAGGGGUUUCCCAGUCUCAUGGGGCCUUUUAAGGGGCCAUGGCCAGGCUGAAAUCCUCCAGAUUCCAUUUGAAAUCCCACCCUAAAACCCACUCAGAUUCCAUCUCAGAUCCCACCCCAAAACCUGCUCUGAUCCAACCUCAAAACCCGCCCUAAAACCUGCUCUGAUCCCAUCCUAAAACCUGCUCUGAUCCCAUCCCAAAACCUGCUCUGAUCCAACCCUAAAACCCACUCAGAUCCCACUCCAAACCUCACUGUGUUCCCAUCCCAAAUCCACCCCAGGUCCCAUCCAAGAUCCCAUCCCAGUCCCUCUAAAGCCCCCUGGGCCCCUCUCCCCACUCUGGGGGGGUUUAUCCUCCCCUCAGGAGGUGGGAAUUUGGGGGCUGGGAGGAGCUGCAUCCUUGCAGGGUCCCCCUGGAGUGGGAGGUCCCAAUCCCAAU